AAUGUCGUAACAAGGUUUCCGUAGGUGAACCUGCGGAAGGAUCAUUACUGAGUUAAGGGGUUCCACCAAGGCCCGGAACCUCCGACCCUUUGUGUUUAAACUAUACCAUGUUGCUUCGGCGGGCCCGCUCCCUAGGGGGCCGCCGGGCUGUUUAACCACAGUCUGGCCCAGUGCCCGUCGAUAGCCCAAAGCUUCAAAGCUCUUGAUAAAGUCGUGUCGUCUGAGUAAAAGCAAACAAAAUUUAAAAUUAAAA
rnacentral:misc_RNA from 1 species